UGGGCAACCUGCCCCUCUCUCUGGGAUAACCCCGGGAAACCGGAGCUAAUACCGGAUACUCCGGCUGGAUCGCAUGGUCCGGCCGGGAAAGGUCCGCCCGGAGAGGGACGGGCCCGCGGCCUAUCAGCUUGUUGGUGGGGUAAUGGCCUACCAAGGCGACGACGGGUAGCCGGCCUGAGAGGGCGACCGGCCACACUGGGACUGAGACACGGCCCAGACUCCUACGGGAGGCA
rnacentral:rRNA from 1 species